UACGUAGGGGGCCAGCGUUGCUCGGAAUUACUGGGCGUAAAGGGUUCGUAGGCGGUGCGGCAAGUUGGGAGUGAAAUCUCUGGGCUUAACUCAGGGGCUGCUUUCAAAACUGCCGCGCUCGAGUGCGAGAGAGGUCAGUGGAAUUGCAGGUGUAGCGGUGAAAUGUGUAGAUAUCUGCAGGAGCACCCGUGGCGAAGGCGGCUGACUGGAUCGCAACUGACGCUGAGGAACGAAAGCUAGGGGAGCAAACAGG
rnacentral:rRNA from 1 species